rnacentral:rRNA from 1 species
CAUGAACGCUGGCGGCGUGCCUAAUACAUGCAAGUCGAGCGAACAGACGAGGAGCUUGCUCCUCUGACGUUAGCGGCGGACGGGUGAGUAACACGUGGAUAACCUACCUAUAAGACUGGGAUAACUUCGGGAAACCGGAGCUAAUACCGGAUAAUAUAUUGAACCGCAUGGUUCAAUAGUGAAAGACGGUUUUGCUGUCACUUAUAGAUGGAUCCGCGCCGCAUUAGCUAGUUGGUAAGGUAACGGCUUACCAAGGCGACGAUGCGUAGCCGACCUGAGAGGGUGAUCGGCCACACUGGAACUGAGACACGGUCCAGACUCCUACGGGAGGCAGCAGUAGGGAAUCUUCCGCAAUGGGCGAAAGCCUGACGGAGCAACGCCGCGUGAGUGAUGAAGGUCUUCGGAUCGUAAAACUCUGUUAUUAGGGAAGAACAAAUGUGUAAGUAACUAUGCACGUCUUGACGGUACCUAAUCAGAAAGCCACGGCUAACUACGUG